rnacentral:rRNA from 1 species
CCCUUAGAUGUUCUGGGCCGCACGCGCGCUACACUGAUGCAUUCAACGAGCCUAUCCUUGACCGACAGGUCCGGGUAAUCUUUGAAUCUGCAUCGUGACGGGGAUAGAUUAUUGCAAUUAUUAAUCUUCAACGAGGAAUGCCUAGUAGGCGCAAGUCAUCAGCUUGCGUCGAUUACGUCCCUGCCCUUUGUACACACCGCCCGUCGCCCCUACCGAUUGAAUGCUCAGGUGAGCCAUUCGGACUUUCAUCAUGCUGGUUUCCAGUUUUGAUGAAGGAAAGUCUUGCGAACCUUAUCAUUUAGAGGAAGGAGAAGUCGUAACA